rnacentral:rRNA from 1 species
AUGGCGCACCAGCCAGAAAGUGCGCCACUAAUGUUAUUUUUUUAUUCCUUUUUUUGCAAAAGUACUAAUGGCGCACUCACACGCGCUGCGCCAUCUACAGCGACCGCUUCAUCCCCAGCCGCACCGGAUCCAACAUCGCGCUCUUCGACCUCGCCCCGGGCCCCUCCUCCUCUGCCUCCGGAUGUGCCGCUCCCCCCUCACCCUACUGCGCUCCUCCGCGCGGCGCUCUUCGGGCCCGACACGCCCGACCGCCUCGCCUCCUCCGCCGGGGCCUCCUCCUCCUCCGCGGCCUCCCCCGUCGGCUCCCCCGCCGGCGGCAACAUAUUCCGCUUCAAGGCCGAGGUGCCGAGGAAGGCCAAGCGGGCGCUCUUCGCCGGCGGGGACGACCAGGACCUGCUCUUCCCCGGCAUCUUCACCCCCAAGGGCUCCGGCCCCAGGAAGAUCCCCAGGUCGCCCUACAAGGUGCUGGAUGCGCCCGCAUUGCAGGACGACUUCUACCUCAACCUCAUGGAUUGGUCUUCGCACAAUGUCCUCUCAGUCGGAUUGGGGAAUUGCGUCUACCUGUGGAAUGCAUGCAGCAGCAAGGUCACCAAGCUCUGCGAUUUGGGGGCGGACGACACUGUUUGUUCCGUGAGUUGGGCGCAGCGUGGCACCCACCUGGCUGUAGGGACUAACCAAGGCACCGUCCAGAUAUGGGAUGCAACAUGCUGUAAAAGAAUGAGAACCAUGGAAAGCCAUCGCAUGCGAGUAGGUGCUCUUGCAUGGAACUCUUCAUUGCUUUCUUCUGGCAGUCGUGACAAGAACAUCCUUCAUCAUGAUCUACACGGCCUUCUUGCAUCUGGUGGUGGAACUGCAGAUAGGUGCAUAAGAUUUUGGAAUACGACCACAAAUACACACUUGAGUUCCAUGGAUACAGGGAGUCAGGUCUGUAAUCUUGUGUGGUCAAAGAAUGUGAAUGAGCUUGUUAGCACACACGGAUACUCCCAGAAUCAGAUAAUAGUGUGGCGGUAUCCAACGAUGUCAAAGCUUGCCACGUUGACAGGACAUACAUUCAGAGUAUUAUAUUUAGCCAUCUCCCCUGAUGGACAGACAAUUGUUACUGGUGCUGGUGACGAGAUGCUCCGGUUUUGGAACGUGUUUCCGUCUCCCAAGUCCCAGAGUUCUGACAGCUUAAGUAGCAUUGGAGCGACAUCAUUUGUUAGGAGCUACAUCCGGUGA